GGCGUGAGGCGUGAUGACGAGGCACUACGGUGCUGAAGCAACAAAUGCCCUGCUUCCAGGAAAAGCCUCUAAGCAUCAGGUAACAUCAAAUCGUACCCCAAACCGACACAGGUGGUCAGGUAGAGAAUACCAAGGCGCUUGAGAGAACUCGGGUGAAGGAACUAGGCAAAAUGGUGCCGUAACUUCGGGAGAAGGCACGCUGAUAUGUAGGUGAAGCGACUUGCUCGUGGAGCUGAAAUCAGUCGAAGAUACCAGCUGGCUGCAACUGUUUAUUAAAAACACAGCACUGUGCAAACACGAAAGUGGACGUAUACGGUGUGACGCCUGCCCGGUGCCGGAAGGUUAAUUGAUGGGGUCAGCGCAAGCGAAGCUCUUGAUCGAAGCCCCGGUAAACGGCGGCCGUAACUAUAACGGUCCUAAGGUAGCGAAAUUCCUUGUCGGGUAAGUUCCGACCUGCACGAAUGGCGUAAUGAUGGCCAGGCUGUCUCCACCCGAGACUCAGUGAAAUUGAACUCGCUGUGAAGAUGCAGUGUACCCGCGGCAAGACGGAAAGACCCCGUGAACCUUUACUAUAGCUUGACACUGAACAUUGAGCCUUGAUGUGUAGGAUAGGUGGGAGGCUUWGAAGUGUGGACGCCAGUCUGCAUGGAGCCGACCUUGAAAUACCACCCUUUAAUGUUUGAUGUUCUAACGUUGACCCGUAAUCCGGGUUGCGGACAGUGUCUGGUGGGUAGUUUGACUGGGGCGGUCUCCUCCUAAAGAGUAACGGAGGAGCACGAAGGUUGGCUAAUCCUGGUCGGACAUCAGGAGGUUAGUGCAAUGGCAUAAGCCAGCUUGACUGCGAGCGUGACGGCGCGAGCAGGUGCGAAAGCAGGUCAUAGUGAUCCGGUGGUUCUGAAUGGAAGGGCCAUCGCUCAACGGAUAAAAGGUACUCCGGGGAUAACAGGCUGAUACCGCCCAAGAGUUCAUAUCGACGGCGGUGUUUGGCACCUCGAUGUCGGCUCAUCACAUCCUGGGGCUGAAGUAGGUCCCAAGGGUAUGGCUGUUCGCCAUUUAAAGUGGUACGCGAGCUGGGUUUAGAACGUCGUGAGACAGUUCGGUCCCUAUCUGCCGUGGGCGCUGGAGAACUGAGGGGGGCUGCUCCUAGUACGAGAGGACCGGAGUGGACGCAUCACUGGUGUUCGGGUUGUCAUGCCAAUGGCACUGCCCGGUAGCUAAAUGCGGAAGAGAUAAGUGCUGAAAGCAUCUAAGCACGAAACUUGCCCCGAGAUGAGUUCUCCCUGACCCUUUAAGGGUCCUGAAGGAACGUUGAAGACGACGACGUUGAUAGGCCGGGUGUGUAAGCGCAGCGAUGCGUUGAGCUAACCGGUACUAAUGAACCGUGAGGCUUAACCUU
rnacentral:rRNA from 1 species